rnacentral:tRNA from 1 species
AGUUAAUGUAGCAUAGUCAGGCUUUGCCAAAGAUCUAAGCCCUUUUCACAGAGGUUCAAAUCCUCUCAUUAACU